GAUGAACGCUGGCGGCGUGCCUAAUACAUGCGAGUCGAGCGAACGGACGAGAAGCUUGCUUCUCUGAUGUUAGCGGCGGACGGGUGAGUAACACGUGGAUAACCUACCUAUAAGACUGGGAUAACUUCGGGAAACCGGAGCUAAUACCGGAUAAUAUUUUGAACCGCAUGGUUCAAAAGUGAAAGACGGUCUUGCUGUCACUUAUAGAUGGAUCCGCGCUGCAUUAGCUAGUUGGUAAGGUAACGGCUUACCAAGGCAACGAUGCAUAGCCGACCUGAGAGGGUGAUCGGCCACACUGGAACUGAGACACGGUCCAGACUCCUACGGGAGGCAGCAGUAGGGAAUCUUCCGCAAUGGGCGAAAGCCUGACGGAGCAACGCCGCGUGAGUGAUGAAGGUCUUCGGAUCGUAAAACUCUGUAAUUAGGGAAGAACAUAUGUGUAAGUAACUGUGCACAUCUUGACGGUACCUAAUCAGAAAGCCACGGCUAACUACGUG
rnacentral:rRNA from 1 species